UAUUUAUUUCAAGCUAUGUGAGUAUGUUUUACACCAUGCAGGUUUUCUAUAAAAGCUUAUGACAUUGAUUAUUUUAAUUGCACACUCCCUCAUAUGCUCGGUACAUUCCCAAAGUAUUGACCUACAUAUUUUGUCUAUAUGCCAUAUAUUCUCGUAAUGUAGGUUCAGGUGCUCUGUCUCAGCCUCACUAGUGAUUCUUUCGAGCACUCUUAUCUGCAUAUCAGCCGUGGUGGCCAAAAUGGAGAAGGAGAUCACGAAGAAAGAAGUGAUAAAGACAUUGAUCUUACUUAAGAAGAUUUUUGAAUUGUUGAUAUAGAUGCUUUAAUAUCGAUUCUUUUGAUAUUUAAUUUCUUCAAACUUAUCUCCACUCAAACUUGAUGCUUGUGUGGAAAAACUAAUCAUUUGGCUUUGUUUUGGGGUUUAGAUUAAUAGUUUGUUGCAAAUUUAGGAUUAUUAUAAAUGAAAAAAUUUAUUUUGUGAUGUGUGCA